rnacentral:rRNA from 1 species
AAAAAACGGGGUGCCAAUACAUGCAGUCGAGCGAAUGGAUUAAGAGCUUGCUCUUAUGAAGUUAGCGGCGGACGGGUGAGUAACACGUGGGUAACCUGCCCAUAAGACUGGGAUAACUCCGGGAAACCGGGGCUAAUACCGGAUAACAUUUUGAACUGCAUGGUUCGAAAUUGAAAGGCGGCUUCGGCUGUCACUUAUGGAUGGACCCGCGUCGCAUUAGCUAGUUGGUGAGGUAACGGCUCACCAAGGCAACGAUGCGUAGCCGACCUGAGAGGGUGAUCGGCCACACUGGGACUGAGACACGGCCCAGACUCCUACGGGAGGCAGCAGUAGGGAAUCUUCCGCAAUGGACGAAAGUCUGACGGAGCAACGCCGCGUGAGUGAUGAAGGCUUUCGGGUCGUAAAACUCUGUUGUUAGGGAAGAACAAGUGCUAGUUGAAUAAGCUGGCACCUUGACGGUACCUAACCAGAAAGCCACGGCUAACUACGUGCCAGCAGCCGCGGUAAUACGUAGGUGGCAAGCGUUAUCCGGAAUUAUUGGGCGUAAAGCGCGCGCAGGUGGUUUCUUAAGUCUGAUGUGAAAGCCCACGGCUCAACCGUGGAGGGUCAUUGGAAACUGGGAGACUUGAGUGCAGAAGAGGAAAGUGGAAUUCCAUGUGUAGCGGUGAAAUGCGUAGAGAUAUGGAGGAACACCAGUGGCGAAGGCGACUUUCUGGUCUGUAACUGACACUGAGGCGCGAAAGCGUGGGGAGCAAACAGGAUUAGAUACCUGUGGUAGUCCAAAAA